UUUAUUUUUAAGACAAAAUACAAGUGUAAUGUGUUAUGCUAAAUCAAUUUGUUAUUCACUCUGGUUUACCUAACUACCUAUCUUUAAACUAAAGUAAUUGGUUUACUUUUGCGAUAGAGAUAGACCUAUUAUCAGGUUCAUAUUCCGGAACAGAGGGGGCGGUAAUGCUCCAUUAAGCUGGUUGCCAACCGCCGGUAAAAAAGAAAGAAGAAGAAGAAGAAGAAUUUUUUUCAAACUAAAGGAUGUGACGUCAUUUUAACGACUUCCACGAAGACGGCGCGCAGGUGAUGGUGUGUCAUACCACAAUGACUUCUCCAGUCUGGCUAAAAGUUACAAAAGGUGAUCCUUCAGUAUGCCAUUCCUACUUCAGUGAGUCAAAGGACCUGUCAAAGGAAAUAGAAAAACAAUGUAAUCUACAAGGACAUUUAAGGCUGCAGUUCAUGGAUCUGACUUGGGCAAUUAGUUUUUAAAUCUCAUGUACACAUCUGAAAUUCAAGACAAAAGUACACUAAAGGUGGUAUUCCUGACAACACCAAGUAAUUGUGACAACUUGCCCCCACCACAACUGAACAGUUCUCAAAAGGAGUACCUGCUCAUAACCAGCUCUUUCACUUUCAUCCUGUGACACAGUAUUUUGUCAACCCCAUCUACAUCAUUAAGCUCUGACUGUGUUGCAAAAGUGUGUCUUGCCAAAUAUAUAACAAAACUGAGAAAAAUUGGCUGUAAUGAAGUGAAAUUAAAUUUACUCAAGCCCAAACCAGCUGGAAUUUCCAGUGCUGUUUACCAUAUAUAUAUAUAAAAAAAACAUGCAAUGCUGAGGUGAACUACUGCCCUUACCAUCCAUAAACGGAGACAUCCAAAACACUGGAAGAAGUCAGUUUAAUACUUCUGUCUGAAAUUAAAAAGAACAAUGAGAAAACAUUAUGAAUGCUGAUGGACAAGACCUUUUCUAUCAAGAGACAUGAGGUUGUCAAGGAAUCGCCUUCAAUAGCAGAUUUCAAAACUAGAUGGCCUGCUCUUUUCAGAAGGGAAGAGAUUUGUGCAGAGUUUAAAAGAAUCACAACAGCCCCAUUGGUGUCUACAUACUUGGCGAAGAUGAAUCCAUAUUCUGCAAAGCUUAUAAGGAUCUAUGCAAAACGAGGAGUCGUCAAUGGACAGAGAAUUAAAAACCUGCUGGUCUCCACAACACGGACUGACAACAUUGAUCAGACUCGGAUCUUUCUUUGUCUACCUGAAUGAAGACCCGACCAGUCUAAUUAAAGAGUAUUUGGAUACAGAUGCACCCAGUACCCAGGA